UAAUUAACUCUUUAAUGAAUACUAGAGACUUAACUACAGACUGAGUUUUGGAAGCCAGCAUUUUCAUAGCUACACAAGUAGAUAAAUCUGAUAGUGGAGAGCUUUGCAUUCAGCUAUUUCCUUUUGACAAAAUUAGGCAAAAAUCAUCCAUUUUAUGCCAUCUGUCCCAGAGUUCAACCCCAAUGGAAGGUUGAAAGAAGAGGUCCCCUAUGUCUGCAAGUUCACUGUCAGCCCAAACCCAACAAUGCAUGUAGCUCCCAACUAAUCAGACCAGAUGUAAAGCCUCUAUUUAUUCUCUGCAGGAUUCAUCCUUUGCCAGAAUUCAAGUGCUUGCAAACAGGAGAUCUCUGCAAAUCCCAGUUGAGCACCCCAGCUAAAAGAUAUGAAUAUGGAUGACGAUGAUGCUUUCACCCAUCAGAUACAAAACGUUUAGUUAGCUUCAUACCUCUCUGGCUGGAAAUACAAUAAAAUAUACUCAGCAUCCAAA